GACGAACGCUGGCGGCGUGCUUAACACAUGCAAGUCAAGGGGGCCCGGUAGCAAUAACUGGGCAACCGGCGAACGGGUGCGUAACACGUGAGCAACCUACCGAAAUGUGGGGGAUAGCCGGCCUAACGGCCGAGUAAUACCGCAUACGCUCUCGAUGAGGCAUUUCAUUGAGAGGAAACCUACGGGACAUUUCGAGGGGCUCGCGGCCUAUCAGCUAGUUGGCGAGGUAACGGCUCACCAAGGCAACGACGGGUAGCUGGUCUGAGAGGAUGGCCAGCCACAUUGGGACUGAGAUACGGCCCAGACUCCUACGGGAGGCAGCAGUGGGGAAUCUUGCGCAAUGGCCUAACGGCUGACGCAGCGACGCCGCGUGUGGGAUGAAGCUCUUCGGAGUGUAAACCACUGUUGCCCCGGGACGAAUAGCUCGAUUAAUCGAGCCUGACGGUACCGGGUGAGGAAGCACCGGCUAACUCCGUGCCAGCCGCCG
rnacentral:rRNA from 1 species